rnacentral:tRNA from 1 species
GGUCCGGUAGUUCAGUUGGUUAGAAUGCCGCCCUGUCACGGCGGAGGUCGCGGGUUCGAGUCCCGUCCAGACCGC